CAAGUUAUUAAGGGUCUACGGUGGAUGCCUUGGGGCCAAGGGCCGAAGAAGGGCGCGGCAAGACUGCGAAAAGCCUCGGUUAGCUGUCUGGCGAGCUUAGCCGGGGGUUCCCGAAUGGGGAAACCCAUCCUGAGUCAUAUCAGGAUAUCCGCCUCGGCGGAAGGUAAGCGGGGGAACUGAAACAUCUAAGUACCCCGAGGAAAAUAAAUCUAACGAGAUUCCCCUAGUAGUGGCGAACGAACGGGGAAGAGCCUAAACCUAUCGGGCUUAACGGACUGGGGUCCUAUGUCCGAUGGGGGUUGUAACACACACCUGCUUAAACCCCAGUGAUAGCAAGGAGUAAGAAACCUAAAUCUUAGCUGAAUGAAUCUGGAAAGAGCGACCGCAGAGGGUGAUAGUCCCGUAGGUGAAAAGAUUUAGGCUCCUGGAGUGUUGUUGAGUACCACGGAACACGUGAAAUUCUGUGGGAAUCUGGGGGGACCACCCUCCAAGGCUAAAUACCCUUGGCCACCGAUAGUGAACCAGUACCGUGAGGGAAAGGUGAAAAGAACCCCGGGAGGGGAGUGAAAUAGACCUGAAACCGUAGACUUACAAGCCGUAGGAGGCGUGGCUUCGGCCAGGCUGACUGCGUGCCUAUUGAAGAAUGAGCCGGCGAGUUAAUUUAGGCAGCUAGGUUAAGGAAUAGAAGUUCCGGAGCCGUAGCGAAAGCGAGUCCGAAUAGGGCGUGAAUCGGUUGGGAACAAAGUUGAUGACGGAUGUCCUGCGUGCGACGGCGGGUCACUUCGGUGAUCCAAAGAAGUGCAAUGGAUGGAAGGCAGAGAUGGAGUUUCCAAUAUGGCCGAUGUGUUGUCUGGAUUAGACCCGAAACCGGGUGAGCUACCCAUGGCCAGGCUGAAGCUCAGGUAGUACUGAGUGGAGGGCCGAACCCGUGUACGGUGCAAAGUGCUGGGAUGAGCUGUGGGUAGAGGUGAAAUGCCAAUCGAACCCGGAGAUAGCUGGUUCUCCCCGAAAUGUAUUUAGGUACAGCCUCAAGGUAGUUUUGUGGAGGUAGGGCACUGGAUGGGCUAGGGGGCGUGAGCUUACCAAACCCAACCAAACCACGAAUGCCAUAAAAUGUUCCUUGGGAGUGAGACAGUGGGGGAUAAGCUCCAUUGUCGAGAGGGAAACAGCCCAGACCGCAAGCUAAGGUCCCGAAGUGUGAACUAAGUGUGAAAGGAAGUGGGAAUCCCAAGACAACUAGGAGGUUGGCUUAGAAGCAGCCACCCUUUAAAGAGUGCGUAAUUGCUCACUAGUCGAGGGCUCCUGCGCCGAAAAUGUAACGGGGCUAAAGUUCACCACCGAAGCUGCGGGAUUCGUCUUUAUGGCGGAUCGGUAGGGGAGCGUUGUCAGGGCGUUGAAGCUGGAGCCGUAAGGCCUGGUGGAGCGCUGAGAAGUGAGAAUGCCGGCAUGAGUAGCGACAAUCUAGGUGAGAAUCCUAGACACCGAAAGCCCAAGGUUUCCUACGCAACGUUGAUCAGCGUAGGGUAAGUCGGUCCUAAGCCGUAGCGGACAGCGAAGGCGAUGGACAGCAGGUCAAAAUUCCUGCACCACUAUUGGAUCGUUUUAAGGCAGAGGAGGGACGUGGGAAGGUAGGUGGAGCGCGCCCACUGGACAUGGUGCGUUUGCCCCUGUAGGCAAUGACUGGGAUAGGCAAAUCCGUCCUGGGAGCUGAGGGGGGUGAAAACUCCAGGGAUAAUACCCGGGGGAAUUCCAUUGAUCCUAUGCCACCAAGAAAAUCUUCGUUGCUAGAGCCAUUAGUGCCCGUACCGCAAACCGACACAGGUGGGCAGGGGUAAGUGUCCCCAGGUGAACGAGAGAACCUUCGUUAAGGAAUUCGACAAGUUAGCCCUGUAACUUCGGGAGAAAGGGUGCCGGGAGGGUCAAGCCACUUGCUGGUUGAAGCCCUUGCCGGUCGCAGUGAACAGGCUCAGGCGACUGUUUAUCAAAAACACAGGUCUCUGCUAAAGCGAAAGCUGAUGUAUAGGGGCUGACGCCUGCCCAGUGCCGGAAGGUUAAGAGGCGAGGUUCGUCCUUCGGGACAAAGCUUUAAAUCGAAGCCCCGGUGAACGGCGGCCGUAACUAUAACGGUCCUAAGGUAGCGAAACCCCUUGUCGGGUAAGUUCCGACCCGCACGAAUGGCGUCACGACCUGAGCGUUGUCUCAACGAAGGACUCGGUGAAAUUGCAAGGCCCGUGAAGAUGCGGGCUACCCGCGACAGGACAAAAAGACCCCGUGGAGCUUUACUGUAGCUUGGCAGUGGACUGUGGUUAUAGAUGUGUAGGAUAGGCGGGAGACUAUGAAGCCCGGACGCUAGUUCGGGUGGAGUCGCCCUUGAAAUACCGCUCUUCUCUAAUUUCGGCCCUAACUCCGUAGCAAUCGGAGGACCCUGCCAGGUGGGCAGUUUGACUGGGGCGGUCGCCUCCUAAAAGGUAACGGAGGCGCCCAAAGGUUCCCUCAAGGUGGAUGGAAAUCACCUAUAGAGUGCAUUGGCAUAAGGGAGCUUGACUGUGAGACUUACAAGUCGAGCAGGGACGAAAGUCGGGCAAAGUGAUCCUACGGUUCCGAGUGGAAGGGCCGUGGCUUAACGGAUAAAAGCUACCCCGGGGAUAACAGGCUGAUCACGCCCAAGAGUUCACAUCGACGGCGUGGUUUGGCACCUCGAUGUCGGCUCGCCGCAUCCUGGGGCUGAAGAAGGUCCCAAGGGUCCGUCUGUUCGCCGGUGAAAGCGGCACGCGAGCUGGGUUCAGAACGUCGUGAGACAGUUCGGUCUCUAUCCGUCGUGGGCGCAGGAGAUUUGAGGAGAGCUUUCCCUAGUACGAGAGGACCGGGAAGGACGGACCUCUGGUGUACCGGUUGUUCCGCCAGGAGCAUAGCCGGGUAGCCAUGUCUGGAUGCGAUAAGCGCUGAAAGCAUCUAAGCGCGAAGCCAACUCCAAGAUUAGAUCUCCCGUCUCUUUAAUUAGAGAGUAAGGUUCCCGGUAGACUACCGGGUUGAUAGGCCGCAGGUGUAAGCGCAGCAAUGUGUUCAGCUGAGCGGUACUAAUAAACCGAGGACUUGACCCA
rnacentral:rRNA from 1 species